CGGCGAGCUGGAGCACGGCACCGUCAGGCUGGUCACCACCCAGUCGGUGAGCCGCACCCGCUGGAUCGCCGCCGCGCUCGGCCUGCCGCUGGCCGUC
rnacentral:tRNA from 1 species